UACGGAGGAUCCAAGCGUUAUCCGGAUUCAUUGGGUUUAAAGGGUGCGUAGGCGGAAUGAUAAGUCAGUGGUGAAAUCCUGCAGCUUAACUGCAGAACUGCCAUUGAUACUGUCAAUCUUGAGUACAUUUGAUGUGGGCGGAAUGUGUAAUGUAGCGGUGAAAUGCUUAGAUAUGACACAGAACACCGAUUGCGAAGGCAGCUCACAAAACUGUAACUGACGCUGAGGCACGAAAGCGUGGGUAUCAAACAGG
rnacentral:rRNA from 1 species